rnacentral:rRNA from 1 species
UACGAAGGGGGCUAGCGUUGUUCGGAAUCACUGGGCGUAAAGCGCACGUAGGCGGAUCUUUAAGUCAGGGGUGAAAUCCCGAGGCUCAACCUCGGAACUGCCUUGAUACUGGCAAUCUUGAGUCCGGAAGAGGUGAGUGGAACUCCUAGUGUAGAGGUGGAAUUCGUAGAUAUUAGGAAGAACACCAGUGGCGAAGGCGGCUCACUGGUCCGGUACUGACGCUGAGGUGCGAAAGCGUGGGGAGCAAACAGG